UACGGAGGGUGCAAGCGUUAAUCGGAAUCACUGGGCGUAAAGCGCACGCAGGUGGCUGAGUCAGUCGAUUGUGAAAGCCCUGGGCUUAACCUGGGAAUUGCAGUCGAUACUACUCAGCUAGAGUAUGGGAGAGGGUAGUGGAAUUCCCGGUGUAGCGGUGAAAUGCGUAGAUAUCGGGAGGAACAUCAGUGGCGAAGGCGGCUACCUGGCCCAAUACUGACACUCAGGUGCGACAGCGUGGGGAGCAAACAGG
rnacentral:rRNA from 1 species